rnacentral:rRNA from 1 species
UACGAAGGGGGCUAGCGUUGUUCGGAAUUACUGGGCGUAAAGGGCGCGUAGGCGGUGUGUCAAGUCAGGCGUGAAAGCCCAGGGCUCAACCUGGGAACCGCGCUUGAGACUGGCACGCUCGAGUUCGGGAGAGGAUGGUGGAAUUCCCAGUGUAGAGGUGAAAUUCGUAGAUAUUGGGAAGAACACCGAUGGCGAAGGCAGCCAUCUGGACCGACACUGACGCUGAGGCGCGAAAGCGUGGGGAGCAAACAGG